GGUCAAGCGAAGAAGAGCAUAGGGUGAAUGCCUUGGCACCAGGAGCCGAAGAAGGACGUGACAAGCUGCGAUAAGCCACGGUGAGGCGCAAAUAGCCUUUGACCCGUGGAUUUCCGAAUGGGGGAACCCCCCCGGUUUAAAUCACCGGGGACCGGCACAUGAAUUCAUAGUGUGACGGAGGGAGACGUGGGGAACUGAAACAUCUAAGUACCCACAGGAAGAGAAAACAAGAGUGAUUCCGUAAGUAGUGGCGAGCGAACGCGGAAGAGCCCAAACCAGGGUAUAGCAAUAUACCGUGGGGUUGAGGACUGGCGGAAUGAUUCGGAAGGUCUAGCGGAAUGAGCGGAUGGAAAGCCGCGGCCGUAGAGGGUAAAAGUCCCGUACGCGAAAGAUUGGAAGACAGGCCAGGAUCCGGAGUACCACGAGGCACGUGAAACCUCGUGGGAAGCAGGGAGGACCACCUCCCAAGGCUAAAUACUCCCUGGUGACCGAUAGUAGAGGAGUACCGUGAGGGGAGUGAAAGAGAACCUGAAACCCUAUGUUUACAAGCAGUUGGAGGGAGUUAAGGCCCGACAGCGUACUUUUUGUAGAACGGUCCGGCGAGUUAUGGUAUGCGGCGAGGUUAAGUGCUUAUGGCACGGAGCCGAAGGGAAACCGAGUCUUAAGAGGGCGUGGAGUCGCAUGUCAUAGACCCGAAACCGGGUGACCUAUCCAUGGACAGGGUGAAGGUGAGGUAAAACUUACUGGAGGCCCGAACCACGUUGGUGUUGAAAAACCAUGGGAUGAGC
rnacentral:rRNA from 1 species